rnacentral:rRNA from 1 species
GACGAACGCUGGCGGCGUGCUUAACACAUGCAAGUCGAGCGGAAAGGCCCUUUCGGGGGUACUCGAGCGGCGAACGGGUGAGUAACACGUGAGUAAUCUGCCCUUCACCUUGGGAUAACCCCCGGAAACGGGAGCUAAUACCGGAUAUGACCGGCAACCGCAUGGUUUGUUGGUGGAAACUUUUUUGGGUGGGGGAUGUGCUCGCGGCCUAUCAGCUUGUUGGUGGGGUAAUGACCUACCAAGGCUUUGACGGGUAGCCGGCCUGAGAGGGUGACCGGCCACGCUGGGACUGAGACACGGCCCAGACUCCUACGGGAGGCAGCGGUGGGGAAUAUUGGACAAUGGGCGGAAGCCUGAUCCAGCAACGCCGCGUGAGGGAUGACGGCCUUCGGGUUGUAAACCUCUUUCAGCACCGACGAAGCGUGAGUGACGGUAGGUGCAGAAGAAGGACCGGCCAACUACGUGCCAGCCGCCGCCGUAACAC